UACGUAGGUGGCAAGCGUUGUCCGGAUUUACUGGGCGUAAAGGGCGUGCAGGCGGUCUGUUAAGUUCAGGGUGAAAGCUCCCGGCUCAACUGGGAGAGGUCCUUGGAUACUGGCAGACUUGAGGAUGGUAGAGGAGAGUGGAAUUCCCGGUGUAGUGGUGAUAUGCGUAGAUAUCGGGAGGAACACCAGUGGCGAAGGCAGCUCUCUGGGCCAUACCUGACGCUGAGACGCGAAAGCGUGGGGAGCGAACCGG
rnacentral:rRNA from 1 species